GUACGGAAAAGAACCCCAACAUGUGCCAAGCAACCGGGCUUAAAGAUCAUAUAUAGGCUAGUGGUGCGCAUCUGCCACGGAACCUAUUGGCAAAUGAGUUUUUCACGAUGCCUGGCGACUGCAAGGAGUGGCUUCGCUUUGGGAAACCGGGGCUGUGGUCACUUGCAGCGCGGACACUGUCCGUCUUUCACCUAUUUAGCCCGAGCCAUUUUCAUUAGCGCGAGGCUGUCUGCGAGCACAACAGGGACGGUUGUAAUCAGCAGCCAUAAACUGUGAAGUGGGAGAACCUAAACGUGACGUCAAUGCCUAGUAACUGACGCAGCCCUAAGAGAGAGAGAGAGAGAGAGAUUCUGCAAGCGUUAAUAUCAUCUUUUGUAUACUGCUCUAAAGACAAAAUAUAUUCCGCUCGCAGUGCGACUGAUUACGAUUGUUUGCGCGCGCGGGUCUGUCUGUGUGUCUCAGUGUGAGUGUGUGCGUGCGUGCGUGCGUGCGUAUGUUUUUUUAUGGGCUGCGAAUCCGUCCCGAGUUUCCAAGCUAAAGUUGCAUGGAUACACGCCGCGUAAGACGCGUAUAAUAAAGAGGAUGGUGUGCAACAUAAAGGAGCAAGGAGAGCGAGACCAACUUGUGCUGAGAAAGGGAACAUUUAAGAAAUAUUUUGCCCAUAAGAGAGAGGGGCACUGAAGCAGUUCGUUUGAAAAAAAAAAUGGAAAAGAAAAAAAAAAAUCACUGCAGCGAUGCAUCGGAGGCGAUUCAGAUGGAGUUGGCGAGGCAAAAUUAAUGUACAUUACAUGCACUCCACGUAACGCUCCUGAGCGAUGUCUUUCCAGGGCUUCCUGUACUGAACAGGACAGAACUUGAGGCAUCCAUCGUGUCAAGGACGAGGGUGAAAUGAACGAUCCCAGACGGUGUUGCUCGUGACGUCACCGGCGUCAAAAUCUGCUGAUGAUUGGAGGUGUAUGCAAAAGUGAGAUGUGAAGCAAACUGACUGUGUUCCUCGUGGAAGGAGAGGGACGGCUGACAGGCAUGGAAGUUGAUGGAGGAAAAAGGAGGGGUUUACAAGGAUAAAAAUCUGGGAUAACGUUACCUUGUAUCCUGCGCACAAGACCAACGUCAACCCAACGUCUGUUAGACUGCUGUACACCUGUAAAUGGAUAUACAGCUAGUUGAUUACUUUGUAGGACCAACAUAACAUCGUCAGGUAUUUGCAAUAUCUGUCUGUAAACUACUUGGGUUUAAUAAAUGAGCCAGGCUGCUUGCGUUGUCACGUGCACAGACGUCUGACACGCAUGAGCUCUGGGACGUAAGGAAAUAUGAAAGUGAUGUAGUACGUAUUUGAGCUUUAAAAAUAAUUGUCUUGCACAUAAAACCAUGUAUAGAUUUGUUGUAAUUAUUUACCUUAAUAAGUGAAACUGAGAUGCGCAUGAACGCUUGUGUUGAGUUGUGUUGCUUUAAUUCUCAAAGACGUGAAGGCAAACACAUACUGAUUUAAUCUUAUUUUCUCUAAUUAAAUUAUAGCCUAUAAGUAGCUUCAAAUGGAUUUGUUGUGACUGUGAUAAUAAGAACGCGUGCGUAACGCGAGCGUCUGCGUCUGUAGACUUGUGUGAAAAUUACAGGCGCGAGUUUCUUUAGCUUCUGUUGCAUUAUAAUUGUUAGGGUUACAUAUUUGCGAGAUCUUGUUUAACAUGUUGAAUGAACAUGUCAGGCGUUUGUCCACUGCACGCUCUGCUGCUGCUGGCGUAUCACUCCCAGGGCCCAAAAGAGCUUAGGACUCAAAUAAUGAUGGGUUUUUAUUAGUUCUUUCGCUAAAUAUGCUUAUUAUAUCGUAUAUAUGUAAAAAGGUUUCAUAAUUUGUGUUUAGGGAGCAUUUUGAACACAGUAAAUGUCAAUUAUGACUUGUUGGUGUUAUCAAAGGGGCAAAUGGGUUGUGUCCUGCAGAAAGUGGGGGAAAUAAAUGUUUAAAUUAAAAAAUAAAGAUUAUAGGCUUCGAGUUAUUCUUAAAAUGUCUGUGGUAGAUCAGUGAGUGUCGAGGACUGAAAGCUGGAAUAUAUCAUGUGUUGGGCUAUGUGAGAGGAAACGUGUGUGUGUAUGUUUGUGUGUGUGUGUGUGUGUGUGUGUGUGUGUGUGUGUGAGUGUGUGUGUGUUAGAAGAACGAGACAGAGAGAGAGAGAGAGUCUGAUAUCGAAAUUGUAUUUUUUAAGGUUUGUCUAACCAAAAUAUAGUUAAGUAAAAUAUAUAGAAUUUGCAUCAGUUAUGUUUUGUAGAAUAAUAAUAAAUAAAAAACUGAUAAUGCACUAUGUAGCCUAUUGGAUUGCUUGUGCCUUUCUUGACUUUUAUUUGUAUUGCUUCAUAAUUAUAGUAUUUUCUGCUUUGCUGUUACUGUAUAUCAUUCAACCCAAAUGUGCUUAACAGUGUGAGCUGAAUUUAGUAAAAUGAGUCAAGUGUGUUUGCUUCAGUGUGGAUGACAUAAGAGUUCUGCAUUUCUGAGUAUUUGAAUGCCAUUUCUGUAUAGUGUGCAGAGACAAAUAUACUGCCUUAACUGUUCGACCCGGACUAUCUGUUUUGCUAUUUCAUUACAUGAAACCAUCUGUACAUGUGGUGUGAGAAAUAUAUGAUGUGAAUAUGUUGCAAAAUCUAAAAGCUUUUGUUGUCCACGUGACAAAGUUAUGAAUCACGUAUUGUGUAAUGAAACUUUGCUUUCUGUAUUCUCAUGUCAGAGAAAAUAAAAAUUUUUGAGUUA